UGGUCAUAUGCUUGUCUCAAAGAUUAAGCCAUGCAUGCGUAAGUUCACAUCCUAGAAAGAUGAAACUGCGAAGCGCUCAGUAAAUCAGUUAUUAUCUAUUCGGUGGUAUAAGCCAUGGAUAACUAUGGCAACACUAUAGCUAAUACAUGUACGAACUGUGCCCUUUACGGGGUGCAGGGCAUUUAUUAGUAAAAAACCGACUUUAAUGUGCAAGCAUUAUAUAGUUGAAACUGAAUAACUGUGCUUAUCGACUGGGUUUUCUGGUCGAUAGUCCGAUCGAAUUUCUGCCCUAUCAACUUGAUGUUGGGGUAGUGGCCCAACAUGGUUUUGACGGGUAACGGGGAAUCAGGGUUCGAUUCCGGAGAGGGAGCCUGAGAAACGGCUACCACAUCCAAGGAAGGCAGCAGGCGCGUAAAUUACCCAAUCCGGAUAACGGGAGGUAGUGACGAGAAAUAGCAAAGUGGGUCAAAGAUUCACUAUUGCAAUGAGAGUAAUUUAAUACCGUUAUCGAACGCAACUGGAGGGCAAGUCUGGUGCCAGCAGCCGCGGUAAUUCCAGCUCCAGUAGUGUAUAUCAAAAUUGUUGCGGUUAAAACGCUCGUAGUUGGAUGACAAAAAUUCCAGAUGAUAAAGUAUUCAAUAUACUUUAUCAGAUGGGGUCUUUUUAUUGCAAGUACCGGUUGUGGGAUUUAUUUCUUGUGACCGGCCCACUUGCAGAGCGUGCCUUGAAUAAAGCAGAGUGCUCAAAGCAAGCGUUACGCUAGAAUGUUAUAGCAUGGAACGAACARCCAGAUUUCUGGUUCAGUUGGUUGGUUUGUCAAUUUAUUGACACUGAACCGGGUCAUGAUUAAAAGGGACAUUUGAGGGCGUUAGUACUAGGUGGCGAGAGGUGAAAUUCUUUGACCCACACGGGACUAACAAAUGCGAAGGCAUUCGCCAAGGAUGUUCUCAUUAAUCAAGAACGAAAGUUGGAGGUUCGAAGACGAUCAGAUACCGUCGUAGUUCCAUACAGUAAACUAUGCCACCACGGGAUCAGUCCGUGUUUUAAACAGGUUGGUCCCCCAGGGAAACCUUAAGUGUUCGGGUUCCGGGGGGAGUACGGUCGCAAGGCUGAAACUUAAAGGAAUUGACGGAAGGACACCACCAGGAGUGGAGCCUGCGGCUUAAUUUGACUCAACACGGGGCAACUCACCAGGUCCAGACAUUGAAAGGAAUGACAGACUGAUAGAUCUUUCAUGAUACGAUGAUUGGUGGUGCAUGGCCGUUCUUAGUUGGUGGAGUGAUCUGUCAGGUCUAUUCCGGUAACGAGCGAGACCACGAUCUCUAUUUUAUGGCUCUGCUCAACAGUUAUGUCUUGCUUUUAAAGCUUGACAUACGAGCAGAGAUAUUAGAGAGACCACCGAGCGGUUUUAAGCCGGGGGAAGCGUGGCAAUAACAGGUCUGUGAUGCCCUUCGAUGUUCUGGGCUGCACGCGCGCUACAAUGGCAGUGACAGAAAGUUACCACUCCGAAAGGAGUGGUUAAUCAGAAAUCGCUGUCGUGCUUUGGAUUGAGCCUUGUAAUAAUUGCUCAUGAAAGAGGAAUUCCUUGUAAGCGCGAGUCACCAACUCGUGUUGAAUACGUCUCUGUCCUUUGUACACACCGCCCGUCGCUACUACCGAUUGAACUGGAUUUCGAAAAGUAGAGAUUUGGUCCCCCGCAAGGGGAGACUGGAGAACCACUUUAAGAAAUUCAUUUGAAAGGAAGUAAAAGUCGUAACAAGGCUU
rnacentral:rRNA from 1 species